rnacentral:piRNA from 1 species
UAAUUGUGGAAGUAAGAUGCUGUUCAGGUU